AGUUUACGCGCACUCUCAGGUGCUGAUGGCCAUUGUCGCCAUCAGUUAAACGGGAAGUUGGUGAACACUUACGUGAAUCCAACGCUGCCCCCGCAACGGUGAUCGAGAUAAGAACGGCUAAAGACGCCACUGUGCUAACGCAUGGGAAGGUGGUCGUUCGGAAAGGCAUGAUGCUGUUAUCCGCUUUUCGCUCGUCAGCCCGGAGACCGGCCUAAGAGGCAUGGUUCUA
rnacentral:ncRNA from 1 species